rnacentral:rRNA from 1 species
CCUACGGGGGGCAGCAGUGGGGAAUAUUGGACAAUGGGCGAAAGCCUGAUCCAGCCAUGCCGCGUGUGUGAAGAAGGCCUUCGGGUUGUAAAGCACUUUCAGUGGGGAAGAAAGCCUUGGGGCUAAUACCCUCGAGGAAGGACAUCACCCACAGAAGAAGCACCGGCUAACUCCGUGCCAGCAGCCGCGGUAAUACGGAGGGUGCGAGCGUUAAUCGGAAUUACUGGGCGUAAAGCGCGCGUAGGCGGUCUGAUAAGCCGGUUGUGAAAGCCCCGGGCUCAACCUGGGAACGGCAUCCGGAACUGUCAGGCUAGAGUGCAGGAGAGGAAGGUAGAAUUCCCGGUGUAGCGGGGAAAUGCGUAGAGAUCGGGAGGAAUACCAGUGGCGAAGGCGGCCUUCUGGACUGACACUGACGCUGAGGUGCGAAAGCGUGGGUAGCAAACAGGAUUAGAUACCCGAGUAGUC